rnacentral:rRNA from 1 species
GAUGAACGCUGGCGGCGUGCCUAAUACAUGCAAGUCGAGCGAACAGACGAGGAGCUUGCUCCUCUGACGUUAGCGGCGGACGGGUGAGUAACACGUGGAUAACCUACCUAUAAGACUGGGAUAACUUCGGGAAACCGGAGCUAAUACCGGAUAAUAUAUUGAACCGCAUGGUUCAAUAGUGAAAGACGGUUUUGCUGUCACUUAUAGAUGGAUCCGCGCCGCAUUAGCUAGUUGGUAAGGUAACGGCUUACCAAGGCAACGAUGCGUAGCCGACCUGAGAGGGUGAUCGGCCACACUGGAACUGAGACACGGUCCAGACUCCUACGGGAGGCAGCAGUAGGGAAUAUUCCGCAAUGGGCGAAAGCCUGACGGAGCAACGCCGCGUGAGUGAUGAAGGUCUUCGGAUCGUAAAACUCUGUUAUUAGGGAAGAACAAAUGUGUAAGUAACUAUGCACGUCUUGACGGUACCUAAUGAGAAAGCCACGGCUAACUACGUG